AGGGAAUACAUAUAUGGCUGGGUGGUGGGCACUGGCCUGAAUGGAAACCUUUCGUCUGGUGGCUUAACCAUUCCACUAUAAAGGAAGGAAGGCAAGAGGAGAAAACAAGGAGGCAAGGAAGGAAAGAAAAGAAAGAAAAGGAGAUGGAGAAAAAGAAAGAGAAUGAGAAGGAGGAGGAGAGGCUGAGGUGGGAAGAUCACUUGAGGCCAAAGUUCAAGACCAGCCUGGGCAACAUAGCAAGACCUCAUCUCUACAAAAAAUAAAAAAUUAGCCAGGCAUGAUGGUAUGCACCUAUAGUCCUAGCUACUCAGGAGGCUGAGGCAGGAGAAUCGCUUGAGCCCAGUAAUUAGAAUGCAACAAGGUAGAAUUGUGCCACUAUGCUCCAGCCUGGGCAACAGGGUAGGACCCUGUUUAAAAAAAAAAAAAAAAAUAGAGGAAGGGACAAAAAAGAGGAGAAAUAAAAAUAAAACAAAUAUUUAAUGCAUUAUUUUACAUUAAUGUAAACAAAUCCAUGAUGAACAAACUAUCAAAAUGUUCAAUGAAGACAGGCUCAAUAUCACUGAUUUUUCCUUUUGUCUGAGGUUCCAGUAUGGCUCAGCAUGACACGGACACCCACAUUCAUUUAUGGGAGCGUGCUGGCUUUGUUUGUUCUUACUAAGAUUUGAGAAUCCGUGGGCCCAGGUGAAUAUCUGGAGCUGGUGUGUAGUAGCUAGCGAGAGCCUAUUCAAUGCAACUCUUUCCAACUCCAUGUUAAGAACAUGAUAUUGAUAUCAAACAUGGUGAGAGUGUUUAAUCAGGGAAAUUGGCUAAGGCUACAAAUUAGGGGCUUCCUCCCCAACCCC
rnacentral:lncRNA from 1 species